rnacentral:rRNA from 1 species
GACGAACGCUGGCGGCGUGCCUAAUACAUGCAAGUUGAGCGCUGAAGGUUGGUACUUGUACCAACUGGAUGAGCAGCGAACGGGUGAGUAACGCGUGGGGAAUCUGCCUUUGAGCGGGGGACAACAUUUGGAAACGAAUGCUAAUACCGCAUAAAAACUUUAAACACAAGUUUUAAGUUUGAAAGAUGCAAUUGCAUCACUCAAAGAUGAUCCAGCGUGGUAUUAGCUAGUUGGUGAGGUAAAGGCUCACCAAGGCGAUGAUACAUAGCCGACCUGAGAGGGUGAUCGGCCACAUUGGGACUGAGACACGGCCCAAACUCCUACGGGAGGCAGCAGUAGGGAAUCUUCGGCAAGGGACGAAAGUCUGACCGAGCAACGCCGCGUGAGUGAAGAAGGUUUUCGGAUCGUAAAACUCUGUUGGUAGAGAAGAACGUUGGUGAGAGUGGAAAGCUCAUCAAGUGACGGUAACUACCCAGAAAGGGACGGCUAACUACGUG